ACUUUUAUAGGAUUGAAGUGAUCCGUUGAUCUUAGGAGUCAAAAAAUUGGUGCAACUCCAAAUAANAGNA
rnacentral:tRNA from 1 species